CGAAUACUUGGGCAGACAAGUGUAGAAUUGUUGUUCCUAGGGCCAUAGAUUUGUUUGUGUAUUUACGUGUUUCAGGACAUAUGAUUAAUGUUCAUGGUCUGCUAGGAACAGCUGGUUGGAGGUCGCAUUUCAUGGUGAGAUGCUUGUAAAGAGACCUAAAGGAGGCCUUGAGCUACUGAAGUCACGUCUGAAGCGAGCUGCUGGAGUCAUCAUAGCACUUGAACUUGGUGUUGCUGGAGCAGGAUACUGGACUUUCAGGAAAGUCAACAGGGAUCAAGAGUUUCGUUAUUAUUUGCACCGCAACUGGCCGACGGUGCUGUCGGCGUACUACACCUUCUGCAACACCAUAGGGGAGGAGUACCGCCAGAUUGAGUCGGCCGACAUCCAGGCGUGGAAGGACCGGGUCCACAGAGUUCCGGCCUCAUCGUCCUCCCCUCAGAGCUGAUCAAUGGCGGCGGCGCGGGCGCUGGCCCACCUGGUGGUCUGGACGGGGCUCGGCUACUUCCUGAUGAGGAUGGUCACCCC